rnacentral:rRNA from 1 species
GCUUAUACUCGACCGUCAGCGGCACGUGCGAUCGCGCGAGCUCGUUCGCGAGCGAGCGCGGUCACGAAGCCCUGACGAGUAGGAGGGUCGCGGCGGUGAGCGCAGAAGGGCUGGCCGCGAGGCCGUCUGGAGCCGCCGUCGGUGCAGAUCUUGGUGGUAGUAGCAAAUACUCCAGCGAGGCCCUGGAGGACUGACGUGGAGAAGGGUUUCGUGUGAACAGCCGUUGCACACGAGUCAGUCGAUCCUAAGCCCUAGGCGAAAGCCGAUGUCGAUGCGGUGUAGUUUUUACGAUAGAAAGAGAUAACACGAAAUUCGACGACUACUACGACGACGUUAAAAAAAAAAACGUUAACGAGACGUUAAUACGUCGUCGUUAACGUUAACGAGACGUUAUUCGUCGUCGUUAAGUCGUCGUCGUCGUUAACUCUAAUUAAUAACGCGAGAGCACACACCCGUCGGGCGAAAGGGAAUCCGGUUCCUAUUCCGGAACCUGGCAGCGGAACCGUCAAAAAGUCGGGC